rnacentral:rRNA from 1 species
AUUGAACGCUGGCGGCAUGCCUUACACAUGCAAGUCGAACGGUAGAGUAGCAAUACUUGAGAGUGGCGAACGGGUGAGUAAUAUAUCGGAACGUGCCCAGUUGUGGGGGAUAACGUAGCGAAAGUUACGCUAAUACCGCAUACGAUCUAAGGAUGAAAGCGGGGGACUCGCAAGAGCCUCGCGCAACUGGAGCGGCUGAUAUCAGAUUAGGUAGUUGGUGAGGUAAAAGCUCACCAAGCCGACGAUCUGUAGCUGGUUUAAGAGAACGACCAGCCACACUGGGACUGGGACACGGCCCAGACACCUACGGGAGGCAGCAGUGGGGAAUUUUGGACAAUGGGCGCAAGCCUGAUCCAGCAAUGCCGCGUGCAGGAAGAAGGCCUUCGGGUUGUAAACUGCUUUUGUACGGAACGAAAAGGUCCUGGCUAAUACCCGGGGCUCAUGACGGUACCGUAAGAAUAGGCACCGGCUAACUACGUGCCAGCAGCCGCCGUAAUAC